UCUCCGUAGGUGAACCUGCGGAGGGAUCAUUAACGAGUUCCCCUUAAACGGGGAGAAUUCCUUGCGUAUGUUCUCAUAACCUUUGUUGCUUUGGCGGGCCGUGUCGUCCUCGGUCAUGCUAUCGGCUCCGGCUGGUAAGCGCCCGCCAGAGGACCUCUAACUCUGAAUAUUACUGCCGUCUGAGUACUAUAGAAUAGUUAAAACUUUCAACAACGGAUCUCUUGGUUCUG
rnacentral:misc_RNA from 1 species